rnacentral:lncRNA from 1 species
CCAUAUGGCACCGAGCUGUUUCUGAUGAAGAAGAACUAUUUUUUCUUUUUUUCCAUAGACGAAUUGCCGGAAAUGGUGGAACGUGAAAAUCGAUGAUUUUCCGUCUAAGGUGCUACUUCUCAUAUUUCGUCUUUCAAUGUUUCUUUUUUCUAAACUUAUUGUUACAUCAUUAAAGUUAUAAUCAUUUAGAGAGUUCUAGCCAAAAGUUUGAUUUCUUUGACUUGCUUGCAUUUUUUCCUUUCAUCUUUGCCUCUAGUCCAGACAUAGUGGAAACUGGAAAGUUGAAAGUAUUCCAAUUUUGGGUUUUUCUUGGAAGACACUUUACAAUGGUUUUUUUUUUUUUUUUGCAGUUUAAAAUGUGGGGUUUUGAUUUUUGAAGACAUAAUUAUAAUAAUGAGAAUUGGUCAUGGUGACCUAAUCAAUUGCUUUCUACUUUUAUAUGAUUGGAAGCUCUGAAUUCAGUCUAAACUGAUGUCAUUUUGAACCAAAUGUGACCUCAUCUUUAUUGUUUAAAGUAAAGAUCACUGGUUAUCAUCUGGGAAUCAAAACAAGCAUGUGAAUUGUGAUAUUGUUUCAUUAGGAAUGUUGUUAGUGCAAGUGCUAGCUUUUUUUAGCUCGGGGGCAUUUGUUAUGGCUAGAUGUGGGAUGUUCAUUAGGCAACAUGUUUAAAGUUGUGUGGAGCAUUGCAAUUUGUGAUGAAGGGGCUGGAGGUGAAGCUUUAUCAAGAAAAAAAAAAAGAAAUAUUAGGCUUUGUUCGGUAGACUGGAAACUAGAAAGAAAAUUGGAAAGAUGGAAAACAGAAAAAUAGAAUUUCUUGUUUUUUUUUAUUUCUAUUGGUGCACUUGGUAGUAAAGAUGAAAAAUGAGAGGAAAGAAAUGAGACUUUUGGAAAAUGCAUAAUUUUGAACUAAUUUAUAUCUCAUUUUCAUUACCUCUUCGCUUAUCAUUCCAAUUUGGAAUGAUUUGUUUUUAUGCGUUAGGACGGAAAAUGAUCAUAUCUCUUUUUUCUUUCCUCUCACUUCUCUUUCAUACCAAGCAUAAUCAAAAUUUAUUCACUUUUCUACUCCCUCUUUACAUCUUUCCACUUUAACACUUAACCUCACACUCCCUUAAUCUUUAGGUAUAGGAAGCCAUAUUAGAUAGUAGUAGUUAUUUUCUGGCCAAAAUGGUAUUAUGAAUUUGACUUUCCUUUGCUACAUUUGUCUUAAAUCCUUUCUGGUCAUCCUAAUUUUUGCUUAUUUGGUAUGUAAGAACUAAAUUUCCUGGAUCGCUGAUCUUGGUGUAAGAACCAAAGUAAUCAUCAUCAUAAAUCAAAGGUUCUAUGUAAACCGAAAACCAUCAGUUUGUCUGUACUUGUAUUAACUAUUUGAUUUUGGUUUCAUGAAGUGACAGCAUGUGUUAGGUAACAUUGCUUAAUAUGGAGGCUUUGGGGACAUUAUGCCCUUUAUUUGUGAAUUGUGAAUAUAGAAGGGAAUAAAAAUAUAUAUAGGUCUUCUAGUAGAGUUCUUAAAGUGUUAAAAUAACUUAGCAAGAGAGCUAGAUGACAGAGUCUUAGGAAUUUCAGCCUGUAACUACAUUCUUCAACAACCAAGAUUUAAAACCGUGUGUUUUUAGCUAUUUUUGAAUACCUUAGGCCCGGUUGGCAUUUUGAUGAUACCAAUAUUAGUUCUUGUUCACAUUCUGUGCUAUUGAAAUCCAAACGUUGUCAUCUUAGAGUGACACAAAUUUCUUUCUAGUCUCCAAUAUGUUUUGUCCACCCACUUGUUCCUGUUGUCUCAUAUUUGAAUGCCGAUUAACUUCAAAACAUUAUUAUGAAGGGAAUUAACUUUCGGCUGAAUUUCAAGGGGAUGGUGGGUCUACCAGUCACUUUCUCAUUGAGACAGAAAUAAAGGAAAGCAGAAUCUUAGAUUGCUCACUUGGCAGCACCUAAGGUGGGAGACACAACUGGUCCACUCUUGCUGACCCCAAAGCCUACAAUGAUUUUUCAGUCAAAAACACUUCUCCUAAUAGGAAAGAUAGUUGGCUUUUCCAUUAGCGUUAAUUAAAUAGUAGAAGUACAUCAUCAUGGUCAAACUCCUCAUCAAAAGCUCAAAGAAACCUCUAGUGUAUCCAUUUCUCUGCUUAUAGAAUUUGCUAAGUGUUGUUACAGUUUUAAGAAUAAAAAAAUCAUCCAUUUUAUAAUCUGUUAACAAGAACCCCUUUUUUUGUGGGUUGGAGAGAGGGGGUGCUCUAGUUUAAUAUGUGCAACUUGGUGAGUGUAUUCUUUGAGCAUUCAAAAAAGUGUGUUCGUGAGGGAGAUGCUAAGUAAGCUGUUUCUACACAUUGAAGGGUGAUAUGAUACUUGUCAGAGAUCUAAUAGCAGAAGUAGUGUAGUGAUAAAGAAGCAAUUCAUUGAUAAUUUCUAUCAUCCCUGGGAUGGUUGAGUUCCCUUGCAGAUUUGAGAUUUAAUGGAGGAUUAAAAUAGGCAUUGUUCUUUGAGCAUGUGAAACAAAUUCUUUCUGCAAAGUUCAUAGUCUUCUAAAUCCUUUUCUUAAAACACUAAGCAAUAAAUUUUCUAAGAUGAAAUUCUCUUCAGUAAGAAAUGAUAAUUUAGAUUAAAGAGUUCCCAAUUUGUGUAAUACCAAUAGUUCCUAUCAUUUAUGAUAUCUAUCCUUAUUUAUCUUGUUUACAAGCUUUGCUUGUUUAGCCAUAAUAUCUGCAUGUAAGCUAAAUCUUAGUUUGGAAUGCUAAAAUUACUUGUUUUUUUUUUUUUUGUACUGUCAAGCCAUAUGACUAGUAUUAUCUAUGACUUAAGUUUCAACUUUCUACCAGAGAAUAUAUUUUGAGGUUGGUUAACACACCUUAAUCGAAGAUUAGAUCUGUGCCAAGUUCUGCAUUUUUUAACACCCUUUCAGUGCCUUUGUAUUGUUUAUUUUACUGCCCAAAAUGCAACAUGCUCCUUUUCUAUUAGACUUAUUUUUGUAUGGUUGUUUGUGUUUAUGUGCAAGUUCAAUGCUCUUAUUGCAUUCUCAUGUUUGAAUUAUGAAAAACGACAUUAAUUUAGUAUUUUACUGUUACUCUAUUUAAAAUGUGAAAAGAGCUCACCAAAAUCCUCAACAUAUAAUUUUCUAGGAACUAUGUUUGUCUUGAGUUUCUUGAAAAGAAAAGGCUUUUACUGGUUGCACUGAAGAAAUUAUAGUGUAGGAUGAAAUGUUUCUAAAUUCCAACAAGAAAACUUUCAGUAUUUUACAAAUCUUUGUAUUGAGCAAUAGUGAAGAUUUUCAGGUUAUCUGUUAUCAUCAAUGAAAACCCUAAUGAAAGCAUCCCUCUGUACCUCUCUGCAUUAGCCUGAGCUCUUCACUGUGUGCUUUUGGUUUGCCCUACCUGCAUAUGAUAUUUUGAAAAGGAUAGUUUUGGUCAGAAAUACAAUUUCCACUGUCAUAUUAGGCACUCAUGGAAGCUCAUUUGUGCCAGGAACAGCAUUGAGUUGGACAAGAUGGAGGACCUAAUAUGAGAUUCUACUUUGCACCAGAAUGAUAAACUGAGGAUCAUGAGUAAAAAUAAAAAGAUGAAGUUGUACAGAAAGGGCAGUUUAAAUAAAUUUUUACAUAAUUUGUAGCAAGGCUGCUUGAGCGCCGGAUCAUCAUUUGGUGUUGGAGGAUCCUGACCGAAAAUCAUCUCGCA